CCAGCCCCUCUCUGUCUCUCUCUCCCUCUGCCUCUCCCCCUCCCUCUCCCUCUCCGCUGCUCCUCUCCGCCCUCUCCUCCACCUCCUCCCAACGCUACUCAAACCCUGACCCCAUUUCCAUUUCACUGUCGCCUUCGCUUGUUGACUCUCCGUCGUGUUGGUCAACAAAUCCCAGGUUUUGGGUCAGGACAAGCCAGCCUUGAUUCAACAGCGAUUGUCGGAGAUUUUGGGUUCUCGGAGUCCGGGAAGUCAGUUCAAUGACCCCAAUUCGAGUGCUGUGAAGCUCACGUUGAGUUCCAAGGAGGGACUCACUGUUUCCUUGAAUGUUCAUCGACAGAUCUUGGUUGCUCACAACCGAUUCUUCACGGUUAAGCUUUCCGAUCGGUGGUCGAAGCAGCAGCGAACUUCUAACCCCUGCAUUGUCGAGAUUGCUGACUGUGAUGAUGUUGAAGUUUACAUUGAGGCUCUAAGUUUGAUGUAUUGUAAGGAUUUGAGGAAGAAGCUCAUGAAGGAAGAUGUCACCAGAGUACUUGGAAUCUUGAAGGUGGGAGGUUGGUGUAUCAGAACACCAAGAAGAGGGCCAGUGGACCCAAAUGUCCUGUUACUGGAAAGCGAAUCCAAUGGUUAAUGUAGGCUGGAUGAGCAUUGAAGGCUUGGACUUUGAAGCAGAAGCAGAGCAGAAAAAUGAACAUAUUCACCAGAAUAUUUAAAUUACGUUCUGGAAUUCCUGCCCUCAUCUUUGUCGUGCUGAACAGGGUUGUGAUGCCUCUAAUCUUGAAAUCCAUUUUGCUCUGCGUUCCUUUGUGAUUCUGUUGUGCUUUCUAUUGUUCCCUUGGCAGUAAUCAAUCCUAAUGUAUUAACCUUCUGGAUGGUUUUAUCUACUUACAUUAUCAGUAUGCAUGCAUGUAUGUAUUCAUCUAAGUUUUUGGCAAGUA